UAUGAAUAAUACGUGGCGAACGGCUCAGUAACACGUAGUCAACAUGCCCAAAGGACGUGGAUAACCUCGGGAAACUGAGGAUAAGCCGCGAUAGGUCAUAAGUACUGGAAUGUUUUAUGGCUCAAAUCUACAUGGCCUCUGGAUUGGACUGCGGCCGAUCAGGCUGUUGGUGAGGUAAUGGCCCACCAAACCUGUUACCGGUACGGGCUCUGAGAGGAGGAGCCCGGAGAUGGGCACUGAGACAAGGGCCCAGGCCCUAUGGGGCGCAGCAGGCGCGAAACCUCUGCAAUAGGCGAAAGCUUGACAGGGUUACUCUGAGUGAUUCCCGCUAAGGGAAUCUUUUGGCAUCUCUAAAAACGAUGCAGAAUAAGGGGUGGGCAAGUCUGGUGUCAGCCGCCGCGGUAAUACCAGCACCCCGAGUGGUCGGGACGAUUAUUGGGCCUAAAGCAUCCGUAGCCGGUCUUGCAAGUCUUCCGUUAAAUCCACCUGCUUAACAGAUGGGCUGCGGAAGAUACUACAAGACUAGGAGGCGGGAGAGGCAAGCGGUACUCAGUGGGUAGGGGUAAAAUCCUCUGAUCCAUUGAAGACCACCAGUGGCGAAGGCGGCUUGCCAGAACGCGCUCGACGGUGAGGGAUGAAAGCUGGGGGAGCAAACCGGAUUAGAUACCCGGGUAGUCCCAGCUGUAA
rnacentral:rRNA from 1 species